UUACGUUUGAAUCAGGAUCCUUGAUUAGAUCUCCUAGAUUUCAUCGUUAGUCAAAAUCAUAAUAUUUUUAAAUAACUCGUAUUUCAAUCGAAAUAUAUAAUAUUCUUAAGAAUCGUAAAUAAUGGAAGUUUUAUAAACGAAGCAGUUAAAGCAUCACAUUAUGCAAUAAUCGUUGCAAUUUUAGUUCACGUAAUAUGAAUCGCGUAGUACUUUAUCUGAUACAUUGUAUCGUCUUAUUCAAGAGUUAUCUAUAAUUCAAAAUUUUACUUAGUCAUUCACAAAAUUUUGUUUCACGAAGGAAUAUAAUUUUAAGAAGCACUACAUUUUAAUAUCCAUAAUUACAAAUUAAUAUUCAUAGUUUUUUUAAAUACUGUAUCAACUAUAUAUAAAAAUACUCUGCGUAAAGAAUUCUUUAAUAAGGAUCACGCGAAAGUUAAAGAAAUGUCACAAAAUCGUAAAAAGGUGGAUCGUGCAAUCCCAAAAGAAGGAUAUUUAUAUUUUUUUACAGGACUCCGUGGAGACAGGAUAGUAUCCCGAGAUUAAGCGCGGUGUAACAGAUCCGAGGAUCAUGGCUGAGAUGAACUUAUGCGACUCACGAACGCGAGGCGGUCAAAUUUAAAUGCGCCGUGGCUGGUUCUGGUAUCGAGGAGACAAGUCACGUUCGUCGAGAAUCCUUUUCUGAGAUUUCGUUCCGUCCUGGAUUUGGAACGGGACGGUGGAUGACAGUUUGUUGUCCGGAACAGUACCAGACGGAACCAGAAAAUAUGUAGCAGCAUUAAUCACGGGGUCUCGUUAAAGGCCGAUGCACAACAACAAGGAAUAACGUACUCGCGACAGGUGCUUGGCUUCGUGGUCGGCCAGAUAAACUGAAACUCGAGAUCUCCAACCUGGUGCUAUCGGACACAGAGAGAGGAAAAGAGAGCUUGUGCAUACCGGAUUCCAUCCGAAGACACGUUACGAUCGAUUAAGUACCGUACCGAUGAUGGAUCACAUAUACGAGGACAAAGGACAACAGUAGACUCAUGAUUCGUGAGUUAUUUAUCGUGUACCGAUUGAUCAGGUACUGCACAGAGACGAGGAGAUGACCAAUGAAAGGAAUGCGGGUCUGAUUGGUUAUGUCUGAUAGAAUCGAAAAACAGUAAAGUCAUAAAGAAUGUAUCGUUUUAUUGUAUCAUCGCUACAAAUCAGCAGGUGUUAGUCAAGAAGUGACGGUAAUUUAGUUUACUGUAUAUCAGUUUUUCCUUCUGUUUGACACCUGUUUACAUAUCUCAUUUUUUACUUCAACUCAAGACGUGAAGGUGCAACAAGUGAUUCGAUCAAUAAUUUGAGUCUUCUUACUCUUGUCAGUUCAUUUAAAAUCUGAGUACAUGGGGCCAAUUUUUUGAACCACUGUAUAAUAAAUGAAACUUAGGUAUAUAACGUUGGUACUAGUUCGAUUAAACUUCAUUAAUAUCUACUUUCACUACCUGUCCACUUAUUUUUGUCCACGAUUGUAACAGCAUAUGAUGGUAGAGGGUCUGGUUAACCAUUUUCUCGUCUCUGCACAGUAGGUUUAUUUGAGUUUGAUCGGUUUGAGACUUUAACGCGUGUAUUAUCGAUGCUCAAGGAAGAUUUUAUCGAAGAUAAACGAUUGAAGAAUACGUGUUAUAUGGAAAAGUUUUGUAAGAUGAUGGUUUUUGACAGAUAUUUGUUCUUGUUUGGUUUAUAAGGAAGUUCGAUUCAUGUGCUUUGGUUUUAAUUGCUUUGUAC